rnacentral:misc_RNA from 1 species
GCAAACUUGGUCAUUUAGAGGAAGUAAAAGUCGUAACAAGGUCUCCGUUGGUGAACCAGCGGAGGGAUCAUUACCGAGUUUACAACUCCCAAACCCCUAUGUGAACAUACCUAUCGUUGCUUCGGCGGGAUCGUCCCAGGCGCGGCUUAGGCUGCUGUCCGGAUCCAGGCGCCCGCCGGAGGCCCCAAACUCUUGUAUUUAUAGUGGAUUUCUGAGUGGCAUAACGCAAUAAAUCAAAACUUUCAACAACGGAUCUCUUGGCUCUGGCAUCGAUGAAGAACGCAGC